AGAGAAAGAGAAGAAGGAAAAGAAUUUCCGCUAUGCUAAGUGGCUUUGGAUUCUUCUCUUAUCUCUGGUCAUCAGCACGAUCUUCUAAAUCAUGCACCAACAAUGGCGGAUCUACGCAACAAGAAGAUGAAGGUGGUGGUGUUAUUGGGACUCCUAGGACUUAGCCCUGAUUGUUACAACAUUUUUAAGACUUUAAAAAAACAUUUUUUGCUUUUA